GACGAACGCUGGCGGCGUGCUUAACACAUGCAAGUCGAACGAUGAACCAGGAGCUUGCUCUUGGCGAUUAGUGGCGAACGGGUGAGUAACACGUGAGUAACCUGCCCUUGACUCUGGGAUAACCUCCGGAAACGGAAGCUAAUACCGGAUAUGACGUACGGAGGCAUCUCCUGUACGUGGAAAGAAUUUCGGUCAAGGAUGGACUCGCGGCCUAUCAGGUAGUUGGUGAGGUAACGGCCCACCAAGCCUACGACGGGUAGCCGGCCUGAGAGGGUGACCGGCCACACUGGGACUGAGACACGGCCCAGACUCCUACGGGAGGCAGCAGUGGGGAAUAUUGCACAAUGGGCGCAAGCCUGAUGCAGCAACGCCGCGUGAGGGACGACGGCCU
rnacentral:rRNA from 1 species